UGGGUCUCCAGCUGUUUCUGGACUACAGUUCCCAUCAUCCCUGACCGCUGGUCUUGCCUAGCUAAGGAUGAUGGGAGAGGUAGUCCAAAAACAUCUGGAGACCCAA